AUGUGUGUGACUUUGAGUCAGCUUGGGAGACUACACGUUAUUUAUUAAUUAGUUUUGAUUUGUGCAGCAAGAAAUAUAUGGGUGACCUACAAAUGAGUUAUAUUUUAAAAAAGGACUUGUACACUGCAGAUUCUACAUACAAUGAAUAUCUUUUUGUUACUAUUUUGGAUGUAAGGUAAAAUGCAUCAUUCUAAUAUGUGAGUAAUAGCAUCAGAGAGAUUAUGAAAUAGGUCCAGGACCGGGGAGAGCAAGUCAGAAGCAAGGUCAAAGGUAGACCUGGGUAAGAAGCGAGGUAGCACUGAAUUUAGCAACACAUAAGGGGCUCAGAGAUGUUGCAGUGAAUUACAGACAUGCAAGGGGCGUGACUUUUAAAGGACAACGCAUGGCCAAAGUUCUGUGACAGUGUAGUUAGGAAUAAAACAGAGUUCCAUAUACUAAGACAUCAGUUCUGUUGUAAGGGAAUCAGAGAUGGUCAGAGCUGGAUUAAGUGUCCAAAGAGAGAAGCAGCAGGAUUCAGGGAGUCUGGAGGUAGCCAAGGUCGGGAACAGGUACCAGCAAUCAUGAGAUACCACCUUCAAGGCUCAAAGAGCAUCAGAAAGAAAAACACUCUCCUCCGAUUCCUCUUGAUGCAUAAUAAGCAAUAUCCUCUCACCAGAAAAAGUACUGGAGCUAAACGAGUAGACCACAGGCAUUGGCUGAGAAUUUUACAGUGGCAAAAGGAGAAGUCCCAUGAGCAAGAAAAUAUCACGGCCCAGCUGCGAGGCAUCGGGAAAAAAAUCUACGUGCACAAAAUGUGCUUUGAGAAUACGUGUUAGUAUAUGGGAAUCAUCAGAGUGGUGUCGAAAGUGGAUGCAUAGACCUCUCUGGAACGUCCUCCUACUACUGGGAUAGAUGCCCCACAGCUAACAGGACUUGUAUAACCGUCUAAAGGACUGAAAAUUUCCUACCACUUUCUGAAGGCUGUGCAACUGGUCACAGGGGAUAUUGUUAAGAAGAAAAGAAAAGCAACCUGCUCUCAUUGGAUAAAGAAAGCUCUAGUAUUUAUAAGCCAUUGAGCCUUCAUUACAACCCUGCCUAAAGGGAAUAAUAGAGCUGUUUCCAGUCAACAGCGCCUUUAUAGCACCUCUUCAAUUUUGAAGUCAUAAGCAGUUCAAGUUAUUUUUUCUUAAUAUGUCUUUUAUGCUAUUAUGAUGUUGUUAUCACGCAAAUUGGGAAUUAGGUGGCAGGGUAUGAAAAUGCUGUACACGUGCACAUGAAAAUGUUGCCAUGUAGCAAACAGCAAAAACGUUUUAGAUAAAUGUGCUGACAGACGAAAAUUUCACAACAGACAUCUCUUAGAAGUCAGCUGCUUUUAAAUUUAAUAUAUGAAGAAAAUAUAUCAUGUGCUCUCUAAGAAAAGAAUUGCAAUGAUGAAAAGAAUAAAAGAACGAAAACCUAGUCCCUUUGCUCA
rnacentral:lncRNA from 1 species